UUGCGGCCGCCUCCGACCCGCCCCGCGCGCGCCCUUCGCGGUCCCGGGGGACCCCGGGCGCGCUCACCUAUAACCCUCACCCCGUCUGACCGCGGACUGGCUCCCCCACAGCUCCUCCCACCUUGGAGUCAAAGUCUGUCGUGGCCUCGUCGUCGGUGAUGCGGACAGGGGCGCAGGCCCCGCGCGCCCGCCGCGGGUUCCGCUUCUCUGCCAGGAGCCUAGCGGAAGAGACCAAAGCUCGCAGUGCCGGCAAGCAUACCGAGUCUCAGUGUGGCCGCAUCAACCUGUGACAGUGCGCAUAGCCACCUACACCUCUGAUGAGUCCAUGGCCCUCGGUGACCGUGACCAGGACGCCCCCGAGAGGCCCCUGCAGUGGGUGGGAAGAUGCAUUUCUUCCUUUGCUCCCCAGGAGAAGGGCCUCAGAUUCUUGGGCCAGACUCCCAGACUCCCCAAGCUCGGUGUCCUCAGCCUCGCCCCGCCCUCCCGUCUACUGGGAAGCCACUUCUGGCUUUCCCUUCCCCAGGUUCCUAAGAUUAAAUCCCCCCUCCCCCGAUGAGCUGGCCCCAGCCACAAGAUGGGCUCUGACAUUUUCCUGGAGCUGUGGCAGUCCGGAGUAAAAAGAAAACCCGAGUCUGUGUGGAGAAUGCUACGCAACCCUACGCGUCCUGGGGACCCAGCCUGACCUGAGAUGCCCCUGGCCUCCCUCUGCCAGCCCAGGCACCUCACUCUCCACGCGAGCCCCCCACCCCCACCUCAGGGGAUUCUGUCCCCGAAGUCUGGAAGCUCCUGAAGAUCCUUGGGCACAGACAGCCGGAGCGAGGCCGUGCUGCCCGCACAGUGCCUGACCAGUUGUCCGUUCUUCACGGCACUCACAGCUUCGUGAGGCUGUGAGCGUCAGCGUGGGUACCACUGGGACCUCACGUGGCGGGGGGCUGUCCCCUGCGGCUUCCACCCCUCCUUCAAGAGGCGCUGACACAGCAGCACCCAGUCAGCACCCUCAAGCCUUGGUCUCUGAGCCCCUUUAUACAAACUAUUGGGGGCCCCAAAGACUUUUCUUUUUUAUGUUUAUUUAUUGUUUUGAGAGUGGUGAGGGGCAGACAGAGAGAGAGAGAGAGAGAGAGAGAGAGAGAGAAUCCCAAGCAGGCUCCAUGCUCAGCUCGGACCUGACCUGGGGUGAAAUUAACACUCCCAUGCUUCACUGAUUGAGCCAUCCCAGUGCCCCUCAAAAGACCUUUCUUUAUUUGCAUUAUACCUACUGAUUUUUUAAAUUUUUAUUUUUAAUGUUUAUUUAUC